rnacentral:SRP_RNA from 1 species
GGGGGUCACCUAGUGUGGUACAUGCCUGUAAUCCCAGUGACUGGGAGCCUGAGACUGAGAGAGAUCUCUUGGGUUCGAGCGCCCAGAGCUAUAGUGGGUUAUGCAAAUCAGGCCUCCACACUGAGUUCAACCUCAAUAUGUAAAACACAUGAGAGCAAAGGGCCACCAGAUUGCCUAAGCAAAGGGCUAACUGACCCAGCUCAGAAAUGGAGUGGGUCAAAGCUCCCAUGAUUAUCAGCUGUGGAACUGACCCAUAAGUAGUCUGUGCACUUCCAGCCUGGGCAAGAUAAGAAGGCCCAAUCUU